UACAGAGGUCCCAAGCGUUGUUCGGAUUCACUGGGCGUAAAGGGUGCGUAGGCGGCGCGGUAAGUCGGGUGUGAAAUCUCGGGGCUUAACUCCGAAACUGCAUUCGAUACUGCCGUGCUUGAGGACUGGAGAGGAGACUGGAAUUUACGGUGUAGCGGUGAAAUGCGUAGAUAUCGUAAGGAAGACCAGUGGCGAAGGCGGGUCUCUGGGCCGGAACUGACGCUGAGGAGCGAAAGCGUGGGUAGCAAACAGG
rnacentral:rRNA from 1 species